UACGGGGGGGGCAAGCGUUGUUCGGAAUUACUGGGCGUAAAGGGCUUGUAGGUGGCCAACUAAGUCAGACGUGAAAUCCCACGGCUUAACCGAGGAACUGCGUCUGAUACUGGAUGGCUUGAGUGUGGGAGAGGGAUGCGGAAUUCCAGGUGUAGCGGUGAAAUGCGUAGAUAUCUGGAGGAACACCGGUGGCGAAGGCGGCAUCCUGGACCAUGACUGACACUGAAAAGCGAAAGCGUGGGGAGCAAACAGG
rnacentral:rRNA from 1 species